rnacentral:rRNA from 1 species
UACAGAGGUCCCAAGCGUUGUUCGGAUUCACUGGGCGUAAAGGGUGCGUAGGCGGUCGGGUAAGUCUGACGUGAAAUCUUCAAGCUCAACUUGGAAACUGCGUCGGAUACUAUUCGGCUAGAGGAAUGGAGGGGAGACUGGAAUACUUGGUGUAGCAGUGAAAUGCGUAGAUAUCAAGUGGAACACCAGUGGCGAAGGCGAGUCUCUGGACAUUUCCUGACGCUGAGGCACGAAAGCCAUGGGAGCAAACGGG